rnacentral:rRNA from 1 species
CAGUAGCCACGGUAAUACGUAGGGUGCAAGCGUUACUCGGAAUUACUGGGCGUAAAGCGUGCGUAGGUGGUGGUUUAAGUCUGUUGUGAAAUCCCCGGGCUCAACCUGGGAAUGGCAAUGGAUACUGGCAAGCUAGAGUGUGUCAGAGGAUGGUGGAAUUCCCGGUGUAGCGGUGAAAUGCGUAGAGAUCGGGAGGAACAUCAGUGGCGAAGGCGGCCAUCUGGGACAACACUGACGCUGAGGCACGAAAGCGUGGGGAGCAAACAGGAUUAGAUACCCCCGUAGUCCCUGUCUCUUAUAC